AGAGUUUGAUCAUGGCUCAGGACGAACGCUGGCGGCGUGCUUAACACAUGCAAGUCGAACGGAAAGGCCCUUCGGGGUACUCGAGUGGCGAACGGGUGAGUAACACGUGGGUGAUCUGCCCUGCACUUUGGGAUAAGCCUGGGAAACUGGGUCUAAUACCGAAUAGGACCACGCGCUUCAUGGUGUGUGGUGGAAAGCUUUUGCGGUGUGGGAUGGGCCCGCGGCCUAUCAGCUUGUUGGUGGGGUAAUGGCCUACCAAGGCGACGACGGGUAGCCGGCCUGAGAGGGUGACCGGCCACACUGGGACUGAGAUACGGCCCAGACUCCUACGGGAGGCAGCAGUGGGGAAUAUUGCACAAUGGGCGCAAGCCUGAUGCAGCGACGCCGCGUGAGGGAUGACGGCCUUCGGGUUGUAAACCUCUUUCAAUAGGGACGAAGCGCAAGUGACGGUACCUAUAGAAGAAGCACCGGCCAACUACGUGCCAGCAGCCGCGGUAAUACGUAGGGUGCGAGCGUUGUCCGGAAUUACUGGGCAUAAAGAGCUCGUAGGUGGUUUGUCGCGUUGUUCGUGAAAACUCACAGCUUAACUGUGGGCGUGCGGGCGAUACGGGCAGACUAGAGUACUGCAGGGGAGACUGGAAUUCCUGGUGUAGCGGUGGAAUGCGCAGAUAUCAGGAGGAACACCGGUGGCGAAGGCGGGUCUCUGGGCAGUAACUGACGCUGAGGAGCGAAAGCGUGGGGAGCGAACAGGAUUAGAUACCCUGGUAGUCCAA
rnacentral:rRNA from 1 species